rnacentral:lncRNA from 7 species
AAAACAACAACCCAAACACUGCAUCCUGCAGCAGCUCACAGUGCUUGCAGUACUGAAGAAUCCUAGGAAUCUCUACAGAUCAGCAUUACCUGCAGUGCUUUGAGGUCUGGCAGAUCAAGGCUUGCCUGAAAGGUCUCUCGUGUUGCAUCUGCAUUGUAAGCAAGGUCAAGGAGCUGACAGCUAACCAGAAACUGAGAUUUGAUUUCCAAGCUGGCGCUAGGAGACAGCAACAGGUGAAGAGGGAGUUGCUGCUGCAGGUGGUCAGUGAGCUGAGAGGCCUGGGAGCAAGCUGCAAGGCCUGAAGUCUGCUGCUUCAUCUUGGCUGGACUUCUGAUGGAGGGCAAUACUUCAAGGCCUUUUCUCAGGAAGCCCAGUGGCUGGUGACAGAGAUUCCCAAGGGAGUGAGAAAUCUGGAGGUCCUGAAAGAAAACGGAUGAAGUGUGUUUGCACCUGGUUUUUCAGCUGGAAUGCAUGGAUGAUGAUGCACAAGAUGCACCCCUGCUACGGGAUGGGCUCCUGAGAGAUGCAACUUUGUGGCACCUGUGAAACAAAAUAAAAGAAGAAAGAGAU